GGCGGACGGGUGAGUAACGCGUAGGAAUCUACCUAGUAGAAGGGGAUAGCCCGGGGAAACCCGGAUUAAUACCGUAUACCUCCUUUGGGAGAAAGAAGGCCUCUCUUUGAAGCUUUCGCUAUUAGAUGAGCCUGCGUAAGAUUAGCUUGUUGGUGAGGUAAAGGCUCACCAAGGCGACGAUCUUUAGCUGGUCUGAGAGGACGAUCAGCCACAUUGCGACUGAGACACGGCCCAGACUCCUACGGGAGGCAGCAGUGGGGAAUAUUGGACAAUGGGCGCAAGCCUGAUCCAGCCAUACCGCGUGUGUGAAGAAGGCCUUCGGGUUGUAAAGCACUUUAAGCAGGGAGAAAAAGUUAUAAGUUAAUACCUUAUAACCGUGAUGUUACCUGCAGAAUAAGCACCGGCUAAUUCCGUGCCAGCAGCCGCGGUAAUACGGAAGGUGCAAGCGUUAAUCGGAAUUACUGGGCGUAAAGCGCGCGUAGGUGGUUUGUUAAGUUGGAUGUGAAAGCCCUGGGCUCAACCUAGGAACUGCAUCCAAAACUAACUCACUAGAGUACGAUAGAGGGAGGUAGAAUUCAUAGUGUAGCGGUGGAAUGCGUAGAUAUUAUGAAGAAUACCAGUGGCGAAGGCGGCCUCCUGGAUCUGUACUGACACUGAGGUGCGAAAGCGUGGGUAGCGAACAGGAUUAGAUACCCUGGUAGUCCACGCCGUAAACGAUGACAACUAGCUGUUGGAAGACAACGUCUUUCAGUGGCGCAGCUAUCGUUCUAAGUUGUC
rnacentral:rRNA from 1 species